CUUACCUAGGACUGGGUCAGUAUCUUAGAGAAGAAAUGAUCAUCUGGAUUACCUAGAAUGAACUAUGAGAACUGACAACAAGGUAGCAUUUUCCAAAUUUGACACCAAACCUUCACUGUCAACAGUGUCCCUACUCAGGGCAUUUGGGAUAGUAUAGGUAACAAGCCAAGGUGGUUUCCUGGCUCACACCUUUAACCCGAGCACUCUGGAGGCAGAGGUUGCAUCUGUUCUAACCAUUUGGAAGGGGUCUUUCAGGGUGAGUCUAAACAGAGAAGAGAAGAGAAGAGAAGAGGGAGGGGAGGGGAGGGGAGGGGAGGGGAAGAAGCUCAGUGGAAAUCGUAGCAAAGUCAUAGCAAAGGAUAAUUGAAUUACACCUAUUAACAUGGGAAUAAAAGUUUUAAAUUA
rnacentral:lncRNA from 1 species